AUUGUUUGGACAAGGAGAUCGGGUAUCUGCCACGCACCCUGCCGCGCAGUGGCGGCAUUUGGUGCCCGGUUCGACCCCGGAGGCGGGA
rnacentral:tRNA from 1 species